rnacentral:rRNA from 1 species
UGGGGAAUUUUGGACAAUGGGCGCAAGCCUGAUCCAGCCAUGCCGCGUGCGGGAAGAAGGCCUUCGGGUUGUAAACCGCUUUUGUCAGGGAAGAAAUCUUCUGAGUUAAUACCUCGGGAGGAUGACGGUACCUGAAGAAUAAGCACCGGCUAACUACGUGCCAGCAGCCGCGGUAAUACGUAGGGUGCAAGCGUUAAUCGGAAUUACUGGGCGUAAAGCGUGCGCAGGCGGUUUUGUAAGACAGAGGUGAAAUCCCCGGGCUCAACCUGGGAACUGCCUUUGUGACUGCAAGGCUUGAGUGCGGCAGAGGGGGAUGGAAUUCCGCGUGUAGCAGUGAAAUGCGUAGAUAUGCGGAGGAACACCGAUGGCGAAGGCAAUCCCCUGGGCCUGCACUGACGCUCAUGCACGAAAGCGUGGGGAGCAAACAGGAUUAGAUACCCUGGUAGUCCACGCCCUAAACGAUGUCAACUAGUUGUUGGGGAUUCAUUUCCUUAGUAACGUAGCUAACGCGUGAAGUUGACCGCCUGGGGAGUACGGUCGCAAGAUUAAAAGCUUAAAUGAAUUGACGGGGUCAUAGCUGUUUCCUG